AGCGGAGGAAAAGAAACCAACAGGGAUUGCCCCAGUAAUGGCGAAUGAAGCGGCAAGAGCCCAAAUUUGAAAUCGGGCAACCGAGUUGUAAUUUGGAGACGGGACACUAGAGAGGAGGAAGGCGAUUAAGUGCCUUGGAACAGGCUGCCGUAGAGGGUGAGAGCCCCGUGAAUCGCUGGAGACCGAUCAAUUAGUGCCCGCCGAAGAGUCGAGUUGUUUGGGAAUGCAGCUCUAAGUGGGUGGUAUAUUCCAUCUAAGGCUAAAUAUUAGCGAGAGACCGAUAGCAAACAAGUACAGUGAUGGAAAGAUGAAAAGAACUUUGGAAAGAGAGUGAAAUAGUACGUGAAAUUGUUGAAAGGGAAGGGUAUUUGAUCCGACAUGGUGUUUAGCAGCGGCCCGUUCCUCGUGGAUGGGUGCACCUGGUUUACACUGGGCCAGCAUCGGUUCUGGGAGCCAUAUACGGGGUUCGUGAAUGUGGCCCUUCGAUUCUGUCGGAGGGUGUUAUAGCGCGGACAUCUUGUGGCUAGCCGGGACCGGGGACUGCGGUGACUUGUCACCAAGGAUGCUGGCAGAACGAGCAAAUACCACCCGUCUUGA
rnacentral:rRNA from 1 species